AAUAACUGAGAGGACUUGUAAGUGACUCAGGGGCAUGUGGCAUAGAGGGCAUGGAUUUUCUGGAGGAAGGGGUGAUUCAUGUCCAGAGCAGGACAAAGUGAGACGCCACAAGAUUUCAUCAAGCUACUCACAAUGGCAUGCAACUUAAAACAUGAAUAGUUUAUUUCUCGAAUUUUUCAUUUAAUGUUUUUGGACAAUAGUUGAUGGCUAGUAACUGAAACUUCAGAAAGCAAAACCAAGGAUAAAGGGGAACAUCUUUAUUGUCUAAUAUCCAGUACAUAUUUAAAUUUCUGCAAUGGCUCCAGAGUUAUGUCUUACAGCUAGUUCAUUCAAACCAGGAUUCAAUCAAGGACUAUAUAUUUCAUCUGGUUGUUCUGUCUCUAAAAUCUUUUUUAAUUUGCUAAAGUUUCCCUUCCUCAACUUGUCUUUUAUUCAAUAUAUCAGCUUAUUGAAAAGACUGGGACUUGUAGGUGGUCUCAUUUUCUGUUGUUGUUGUUGUUGUUUUCUUUUUUAAUUGGUUGCUUAUUCUGUUGUUUGACUUGUUCCUCUAUACCUUGUAUUUUCUGUAAACUGGUCCAAAAAAAUGACAGAUUUAACAUUUUUGGCAAGUGUACUUCUUUAGUGAUGCUGGAAAGCCCCUAUUUAUAAUGGAAAAAUAGUAGAAUAAACCUAAGGUUUUAAUUUGUUUUUGCAAGGAUAAUAUAAUCAUUUCUGAGUUUAUGGCAACUAAUGGCUUCAAAUGCUAGGAACUUUGGAAGAUUUUCUUAUUCAUUAGGUGACAAUCUGGAUCAACUGCUAGGCAGUUAAAGGUCUUCAAGAGCUAUAAUAUGGAAUAAACUUUGCAAAAAUUCUGAUGUCAAGAGGUUUCCACUUCAGUUAAUAAAAUUAAAAGGAUCAAAAGGGGCUCUGAGAAAUCUACAAACCAGACUGGAAAACAUGUUUCUACUCUGGAUGACACACACUCAAUGGAAGCUUCAUGACUAAGAAACAUGUUCUCAACAGAAAAAAAGACAUCUGCUUAGUUUGGAUUCGUUUGGGAAUUUCUCCUUGGUACGGCUAUAGGUAACUUCAAGGUAACCUCAAGGCAACAGAAAGGGAUCUACUCAAGUUGUUGGCUGAAGACUGGAUAGUCAAGGAAGGCCUCAGCUGGCAGUCUGGAGAUUGGCCAGAGGGAAAGCAACAACUACAACUCGUGUGACCUAUGUUAACCAGGAGAUACACACACCUUCUGCUAAAACAUAUAAACGUCAUGUCACAGCCCUCCACAGAAAAGCAGAAUGGACAGAAUAGCAACAUUCACACAGAAAGCAUAUGAUUCUACACAUAAGGGCCAACUUGAUCUUUCUAAGGAUGGAAAUUUCCUGAUGUUCGGUUUUCUUUUGAGUAAAGUCAGUCAUCAGCCUCACACAGAGUAUCUCAAGGAUAUGACUGCAGCAGCCUAACUUACUAACAUGGCUUGCCCAGGUCCUACUUUCUGCACCUAAGAGUCAGUGAGCUCUCACUCUUCCCCUCACUGGGAGCCUCUCUGAUCCAUCUGGAAUAGAAGCCCUAUCAGCCCCUCCUCUCUUCAACCCAGCUUGCUGAAGGCCUCAUAAUAUCAUCAGCAAUCCCAGCUGUGGCUUUCUGAACAAUACUUUCUUUUGUGGUAGUUGUCAACUCUGCUUACAGUAACCAAACAGAAAAAAAAAGAGUCCCAGAUAAUCUAGAAGUCUUCACUCUAAAGCAGCUCUCCUCAGCACCUGAUAGACUACAGAGAAGUGGUCUACGCUGAUCAUUUUGAGUUGAAAUAAA